UACAGAGGUGGCAAGCGUUGUUCGGAAUUACUGGGCGUAAAGGGCGCGUAGGCGGCCUUCUAAGUCAGACGUGAAAUCCCCAGGCUUAACUUGGGAACUGCGUCUGAUACUGGAAGGCUUGAGUGCGGGAGAGGGAUGUGGAAUUCCAGGUGUAGCGGUGAAAUGCGUAGAUAUCUGGAGGAACACCGGUGGCGAAGGCGGCAUCCUGGACCGACACUGACGCUGAGGCGCGAAAGCUAGGGGAGCAAACAGG
rnacentral:rRNA from 1 species